GUGGGGAAUAUUGGACAAUGGGCGAAAGCCUGAUCCAGCCAUGCCGCGUGUGUGAAGAAGGUCUUCGGAUUGUAAAGCACUUUAAGUUGGGAGGAAGGGCAGUAAGCUAAUACCUUGCUGUUUUGACGUUACCGACAGAAUAAGCACCGGCUAACUUCGUGCCAGCAGCCGCGGUAAUACGAAGGGUGCAAGCGUUAAUCGGAAUUACUGGGCGUAAAGCGCGCGUAGGUGGUUUUGUAAGUUGAAGGUGAAAUCCCCGGGCUCAACCUGGGAACUGCCUCCAAAACUGCAUGACUAGAGUACGGUAGAGGGUAGUGGAAUUUCCUGUGUAGCGGUGAAAUGCGUAGAUAUAGGAAGGAACACCAGUGGCGAAGGCGACUACCUGGACUGAUACUGACACUGAGGUGCGAAAGCGUGGGGAGCAAACAGGAUUAGAAACCCUUGUAGCCC
rnacentral:rRNA from 1 species